UUCGCAAUGCCCGAAAGGGUGACGAAGCGACGCCGCGUGUGGGAAGAAGGCCUUCGGGUUGUAAACCACUGUCGGGAGUUAAGAAAUGUAGGGAUGUUAAUAGCAUUCUUACUUGACUAAGGCUCCGGAGGAAGCCACGGCUAACUCUGUGGCAGCAGCCGCGGUAAUACAGAGGCGGCAAGCGUUGUUCGGAAUUAUUGGGCGUAAAGAGCACGUAGGUGGGUUUGUAAGUCAGAUGUGAAAGCCUCCUGUUCAACGGGAGAAUUGCAUCUGAAACUACUGAUCUUGAGUAUAGGAGGGGAGAAUGGAACUUCUGGUGGAGCGGUGAAAUGCGUAGAUAUCAGAAGGAACGCCGGCGGCGAAAGCGAUUCUCUGGCCUAUUACUGACACUCAGUGUGCGAAAGCUAGGGGAGCAAACGGGAUUAGAUACCCCGGUAGUCCUAGCCGUAAACGAUGGGCACUAAGUAGAGGGGUUUU
rnacentral:rRNA from 2 species